rnacentral:piRNA from 2 species
GUCCGAGAGUAGUGGUGUUUACAACU